rnacentral:misc_RNA from 1 species
AGCUGGAUCAUUUUCCGAUAAUCAAAACUUUUUGUCUGAGAGAGGUCCCAACCGCCUUCCGGCCUUUUAUUGAGGGGGAGGUUAACGGUUUAUUCUCUCCAAAAAAGGAGACCACCAAAAAAUAUUACUUGAAACUUUGCCUCAUCACGCGCAAACCUUAUUAGGGUUUGUGUUUGGUGAACGGCUUCCACAACGUGUCGCGAUGGAUGACUUGGCUUCCUAUUUCGUUGAAGAACGCAGCAAAGUGCGAUAAGUGGUAUCAAUUGCAGAAUCACCCAAUUACCGAAUCUUUGAACGCAAAAGGCGCCCGAGAGAAGCUGUUCACCAGUGAACCUCGUGCAUGCCGCAAAUCUCAGUGUCGAACAAAAAACAUAUUCACCGUCUUUAAAAAACGGGGAAAAAGAGUCUUGGAUUUUUCUUGCGUGAGAAGAAAUUCUCGCACACAAGAAAGCCAAGUGGUUGCUCCGAACGUACAUGCGCGCAAGCGUCUCUGUGGCCUCAACUAUGGGCAACAACCAAAACAAACCAACAAAUUUUAGAGAAGGAAAAUUCAUUUUUUCAUAUCUCCAAAACGAAAACAACAACAUUCCGUUCACAGACCUGAGUGCGGCAGGACUACCCGCCGAACUUAAGCAUAUUACUCAGCGGAGGAAAAAGAAAACAACCGUGAUUCCCUCAGUCAGCGGCGAGCGAAGAGGGACCGAACUCGUUGCCGAAUCGGGCCUCAACGGCCUUGAGUUGUGGCAAAAACGGUGUUCCGUGGUUGGUGUGGGAUUGGCGAAAUUCAAUGUGCAAAGCAAACCCUGCUGAACACAACCCUUCAUGUGAGUAUUGAGCCAUAGAAGGUGGUAGCCCAUUGAGCCAAGAACCCGAGCGCCCCACUGGAUGCUCAUAGAGAGUAGCACUGCUUGGGAAUGCAGUGUCAAGCGGCAGGUAUUUGUCUGCCAAAGUUAAACACAGAGUAGGAAGACCGAUAUCGAACAAGUAGCGUGAGCGAAAGUUUGAAAAGCACUUUGGAAAGAGAGUGACAUAGAACCUGAAGUCGUGACAAUGAUAAUGGAAGUACCUCCAUUUCACUGGCCAAAACCAGCCUUCAAAGCAUUAUCUUCCUCUACGCACCCGUCAAAAAGGAGCGUGGGGGCAACAAGUGCCGACAAGGGGCUCUGGUGAAACGAGCGGAGAUAAAGUCGGGAGCACUGCGUGGAGUGGGUCAAACCUCUCUAUGCAGCGAGCCUCGGCUUCUCCGUGAUGCUCAAUGUUGGCAAACCGAAAUGGGGUGCCUUCACCCGUCUUGAAACACGGACCAAGGAGUCAAACAGACGCGCAAGGGGGAAGAUCUAGUGUAAAAAACUUCUCUCGUACUGAAAGGGUUUCUUUUUAUUUGGUGUGCACACAAAACGAAUGCCCAACACCGACCGGCCCCCCGUGGGUUGAGUUUGAGUGUGCCUGUUUGGACCCGAAAGGUGGUGAACUAUACCUGAACAAGGUGAAGCCCGGGGAAACCCAGGUGGAGGCCUGUAGCGAUGCUGACGUGCAAAUCGCUCGCAUGAUUUGGGUAUCGGAGCGAAAGACUCAUCGAACCACCUAGUAGCUGGUUCACAU